ACUAGGGAUUUUGACCUCUAAAUUUUGGGGGUAAAAUGCAGAUUAUACUCGAGGAUUUACGGUAGUUGAGUCUUUUUUGAAAUAUUCUGAUAUUUUGUCUCAUAUUUCAAACAGGAUUUUCAAAAGACAGACUUAAUGAUAACAUGCAAUCUUAAUCUUUUCAUCUAAUUUGUUCUGUUAUGUCAUUUUUUAAACUAUAAACCACCUUGUUGUUGUUCAAGCCUGCAUAUAAAUCUUACUGUUGGUAAAAGCAAAACUGAAUAAAUAUCUAAAUGUCUAAGACAAGCUAAUAGGAUUAUAAUUUUUCAGAUGAUUAGCCUGAUCUUAGUGAUUAAAAAUAUAUUAUCAUGUACUUUAAGUUUUGGUCAUUAAUCGUCAGUGUGUCUUAUUUUCUGAAUGUAUACAUAAAUACCAGUACUAGGAAGCUUUAUUUUUAGAAAUAAGGGUAAUACCACCUGCUCUUAUUCAUUAGUCCAUGAUGCAUGUACAAUUAACCCUUUAGUUACAUUUUUAGUGUAUUUAAAUUAAUCAUUGAGAAAAGGUUGCCACAUUGAGCUGAUGUUAGUGCUGGGCUUAUUGAUUGGGUUACCAGCAAAUGUUAUACUCUCUCUUUACAUCUUUUUAAAUUUUCCACCAUUGUUCCCUCUAACUUUUUGCUCUGUGUGUGUGUGCGUGCGUGUAUAGAAAUUUGUUGGUGCAAAUUUUCUCUUUAUUUGUGAAGUAUGUGCUCCUUCAUACAAAUAGCCAUUAUUUCAAUGUCAUAUUGAUCACCUAAGCAAAUGCAUAUUAUCUUAAAGAUUUUAUUAUGAAAUUACAUGAUGAAUUCUUUCAAUUAAAAAAUACUUUUUUUCAUCUUGAAAACCCUGAGUGCCCACAUUUUUUCUCUUUGUGCACUAGUUGUAAAAUGUGU